GGUCGGUUAGCUCAGUUGGUUAGAGCGUCGUACUAAUACAUAAUCCCCUUGUAUCAAGUAAUGCGAAGGUCAUGGGUUCGACCCCCAUACUGACCA
rnacentral:tRNA from 1 species